AUGACUCAAACCUCAUCCGUUUAGCAACCGUCCAAGAACGUCAAUUUCAGAAAAAGAAGAUCUCAUGGUUCCAUUUUCACCUCUUUUCUCCGUCUCCCCUUUUUCCAGCCAUAUUUGUUUCCGAACCUUUUUCGUGUACCGUGUUUAUUGUGUUUUCCAUUUCACCCCUUGUUUUCGACAUGCCAUUGCUCCUCCCUCAAACGCCACGGCUUUUUUCACGAACCAACUGUGACAAUCCAGUCAAUUCUGAUCUCUAGGCCCUCGCUUCCCCUUCCUGUGGAUGCCAUCGGGGCGCUCACCGGGACAACAUACUCCUCGACAGCGACGCCGCCGCGCUUCCUUGAGGAAAGCUCGUAGCUGCCCCCGCGCAAAGCUCCGGUCUUUCUUGGCCCUGACCCCUCCUCCCCGCCGCCGGCGCCGCGUGAGCACGCCGCGCUUGGCUUGAUGCUCGACUUCUGCGCGCCCCACGGGCCCGCCAAGCUCCCGGUUGCGUCUGUCGCUGGGGUGCGAGUCGCCGGCAGGUGGUUGUGGCGAUCGGCGGCGGUUGGGGCGGUGCGCCAUGGCGUCUCCGCGCGGGCCUCAUCCUUCGGUUCCCGGAUCGGGCUCGAUUCUCAGAAUUUUCACACAAGGGACCUCUCCCAGUUGUUGUGGAUCGGUCCGGUGCCAGGUGACAUCGCAGAGAUUGAGGCCUACUGCCGCAUAUUCCGUGCUGCCGAGCAGCUCCAUACUGCAGUCAUGUCAGCACUCUGUGAUCCAGAGACAGGAGAGUGCCCUGUACGCUAUGAUGUUGAAUCAGAGGAUCUGCCGGUGCUGGAAGACAAGGUUGCUGCCGUCCUUGGCUGCAUGCUGGCGUUGCUGAACCGGGGAAGGAAUGAGGUGCUCUCAGGGAGAUCAGGUGUUGCAAGUGCCUUCCAGGGAUCUGAGGACAGCACUGCUGAUAGGAUCCCACCGCUCGCCUUGUUCCGUGGAGACAUGAAGCGUUGCUGUGAGAGUAUGCAGGUGGCGCUUGCAAGCUACCUUGUGCCAAGUGAACCUAGGGGGUUGGACAUAUGGAGGAAGCUGCAGAGAUUAAAGAACACUUGUUAUGAUGCAGGUUUCCCGAGGGCUGAUGGUUAUCCAUGUCCGACAUUGUUUGCAAAUUGGUUUCCAGUGUACCUUUCGAUUGUGUCAGAUGAUUCAGGAAUGGAUGAGCUAGAGGUUGCAUUUUGGAGGGGAGGACAAGUCAGUGAGGAGGGACUGGCAUGGCUACUUGGAAAGGGAUUCAAAACUAUUGUUGAUCUCCGGGAAGAAGAUGUUAAAGAUGAUUUGUACCUUUCAGCAGUUCAGGAAGCUGUCUCAUCUGGGAAGAUAGAGGUGGUGAAUAUGCCAGUUGAGAUUGGAACUGCACCAUCAGCUGAACAGGUUCAGCAAUUUGCAGCUCUUGUGUCAGAUGGCGCAAAGAAGCCCAUUUAUCUCUACAGCAAAGAAGGUGUUUCUAGGACGUCUGCAAUGGUCUCAAGAUGGAAACAGUAUGUUACUCGUUCAGAGAGAUUGGCUGUCCAAAAUCACUCUCUAAAUGGGAAUGGUAACAUCCUGACAAAUCACAAGACCAUGCAGCACACUGGCAUACCAAGUUCCUCUCCGAAUGGAGCUGAAAAUGGUAUGAUAACAGAAUCUGAUAGGACCAUGAACAAUGGGGAAUCAAGUGAGAUAGACAUAGAUACAGCUCGUCAUAAUCUGGAGGUCACUAAUGCCCUUUGUAAUGAUCAAAGCACUCAACAAGGUGAAAUGCCUGACACCGUGGCAGAACUCUUGUCAAACUUUAAACUGGAGAGUAACCCCCUUAAAGCACAAUUUCCUACUUGCGAUGUUUUCUCUAGAAAAGAGAUGACCAAGUUUUUUAGAAGCAAAACAGUUUAUCCAAAAUCUGUUCUGAACUCUAGGAGACGAUCAAGUAGCUUGGUUAUAAGGAGAAAACAAAAUCUCUGCACGGAGCGUAGUGGAACCAAUGACUAUGAAGCAGCAGAGUUUGCAGUUCUCAGAAGUUCAAAUGGAAAAUCAUUUGACAGUGAUUAUAUUCUAUCAGUUGCUUCAGGUAUCACUGAUGGAAAACCUUCAAACAAUGAAGCCUCAUUAAUUGAGGAAAAGGAAAGGGAAGUUUCAGUUGCCACUAUUGACACUAGAGCAUCUGCCAACAGUUCUAAUAGAAAGGUUCAGGUUGGAUCACAAGAAUCUGCUGAAAAGAAUAGUACCCCUUAUCUUGAGAGAAACAAAUCAGAUAAUGUUGAUAGAAAUAUGUGUGCAUCUGCAACUGGUGUUGUUAGACUCCAGUCAAGAAGAAAAGCAGAGAUGUUUCUAGUACGUACUGAUGGAUUUUCUUGUACUAGAGAAAAAGUAACAGAAUCAUCUCUGGCUUUUACGCAUCCUAGUACCCAGCAACAGAUGCUUAUGUGGAAAUCACCUCCAAAGACUGUCUUACUUUUGAAGAAAUUAGGAGAUGAGCUCAUGGAAGAAGCUAAAGAGGUUGCUUCAUUUCUGCAUCAUCAAGAAAAGAUGAAUGUUCUUGUGGAACCUGAUGUUCAUGAUACAUUUGCUAGAAUUCCAGGUUAUGGUUUUGUGCAAACCUUCUAUACUCAAGAUACCAGUGACCUUCAUGAGCGAAUUGAUUUUGUUACAUGCUUGGGUGGUGAUGGACUCAUUUUGCAUGCAUCAAACUUAUUUAGAACUUCUGUACCACCUGUUGUCUCCUUCAAUCUCGGAUCUCUUGGGUUCUUAACUUCACAUAAUUUCGAAGGUUUCAGACAAGAUUUGAGAGAUUUAAUCCAUGGGAACAACACACUUGGAAUUUAUAUAACUCUUAGAAUGCGUCUAAGAUGUGAGAUCUUUCGCAAAGGAAAAUCAAUGCCUGGUAAAGUGUUUGAUGUGCUGAAUGAAGUUGUUGUUGAUCGAGGUUCCAAUCCAUACCUAUCAAAAAUUGAGUGUUAUGAGCAUAACCACCUUAUCACUAAGGUGCAAGCUGACGGGGUGAUAGUUGCAACACCAACUGGCAGCACAGCAUAUUCUACUGCAGCAGGGGGAUCAAUGGUAGGUUAAUUCUUACCAGUUAUAAUCAUUAUUAAACCCUAUCAUGACAUGGGAAAGUACAUUUUCCUGUGUGAUGACACCUGUGACCUGUUUCUUCAAAUGCUUUUCAAAAGGAUUGUUAUAACUAGUGGACCUGAGGGCUGAUGCCAGUGGGGGCUAGGACAAGAGGAACCUCAGGGUCCGAGAAGGCGUCCCAUUGGGCUGGGGCAAGAGGUGCCACAUGGCGCAAAGGUGCCUCGGGGACUGAAACUGUUCAUCCAAACGUCCCAUGCAUGCUGUUUACUCCAAUCUGCCCUCACUCACUGUCAUUUAGACCUGUCAUCCUUCCGGAUUCUGCCCGGCUUGAAUUAAAGAUACCAGAUGAGGCAAGAAGCAAUGCAUGGGUUUCGUUUGAUGGCAAAAGGAGGCAGCAACUGUCAAGAGGAGAUUCUGUUCGUAUAUCCAUGAGUCAGCACCCACUCCCAACUGUUAAUAAAUCUGACCAAACGGGUGAUUGGUUCCGCAGCCUGAUCAGGUGUCUCAACUGGAACGAGAGAUUGGACCAGAAGGCAUUAUAGGCACUAGAAAAUUUUUUAUUGUUUCUGUACAUAUGUAAAUUUAUACACAUAUAGUUUUGUUUUUCUGCCAACAUGUACAACGUGUAACAUCAAAGAAUCUUGCACGUAAGGAGCUCCGUAGCUUACUUUAUCCAUGUAUUCACGUGCUUCACAAAUCAACUUAUAUA